rnacentral:tRNA from 1 species
CCAUUACUCAUUUGGUAGAGCACAAGGCUCUUAACCUUGUGGAUGUGGGUUCAAGCCCCAUGGUGGG